rnacentral:misc_RNA from 1 species
AAAGCGAGAGGAAUUAGAAAUGGCGGAUCAACUCACAGAUGACCAGAUCUCCGAGUUCAAGGAAGCCUUCAGCUUAUUCGAUAAAGAUGGAGACGGUUGCAUUACCACAAAGGAGCUUGGUACUGUGAUGAGAUCGCUGGGACAGAACCCCACUGAGGCGGAACUCCAGGACAUGAUUAACGAAGUUGAUGCUGAUGGGAAUGGAACUAUUGA